AGAGUAGCCUGAUCAACUUUGACGAACUCGGCGUCCCAGUCCUUCAAAUCGCCGUCACCACCAGAAGAGGGACGAUCUUCGGACUUGGGGGUCUCGACGUGCUUCUUGCAAUACUCAAUUACCUUAGAAAGGAUCUUGCUUGUGACAUUAGGUAGAGGGAUACCGUUGUCAGCACAGUCGUCCUCUAUCAUGUGCUUUAUCGUCUGAGAUUCAAGCGCCACCGCCUCGUCCACCUCAAAAGUCUCUCCAUCAGAACUUUUCAGUGUGAUGCUUCGACGGCCGUUGACAGUGACAUUGCUAGUUGACAUUGCUAGUUUUGCCCGGUGAUGCUUCGACGGCCGCUGAAAAU
rnacentral:misc_RNA from 1 species